rnacentral:rRNA from 1 species
CCUACGGGUGGCAGCAGUGGGGAAUAUUGGACAAUGGGGGCAACCCUGAUCCAGCCAUGCCGCGUGUGUGAAGAAGGCCCUCGGGUUGUAAAGCACUUUCAGUGAGGAAGAACGCCUGGUGGUUAAUACCCAUCAGGAAAGAGAUCACUCACAGAAGAAGCACCGGCUAACUCCGUGCCAGCAGCCGCGGUAAUACGGAGGGUGCGAGCGUUAAUCGGAAUUACUGGGCGUAAAGCGCGCGUAGGUGGCUUGAUAAGCCGGUUGUGAAAGCCCCGGGCUCAACCUGGGAACGGCAUCCGGAACUGUCAAGCUAGAGUGCAGGAGAGGAAGGUAGAAUUCCCGGUGUAGCGGUGAAAUGCGUAGAGAUCGGGAGGAAUACCAGUGGCGAAGGCGGCCUUCUGGACUGACACUGACACUGAGGUGCGAAAGCGUGGGUAGCAAACAGGAUUAGAUACCCGAGUAGUC